AGUGAACGCUGGCGGCGUGCUUAACACAUGCAAGUCGAACGAGAACGGGUUAUAGCUUGCUAUAAUUGUCAGCUAAGUGGCGCACGGGUGAGUAAUGUAUAGGUAAUAUGCCUCUUACUAAGGGAUAACAAAUGGAAACGUUUGCUAAUACCUUAUACUCCUUAUUAACAGAAGUUAAUAAGGGAAAGAUUUAUUGGUAAGAGAUUAGCCUGUAUUGUAUCAGUUAGUUGGUGGGGUAAUGGCUUACCAAGACUAUGACACAUAACUGGUUUGAGAGGAUGAUCAGUCACACUGGAACUGAGACACGGUCCAGACUCCUACGGGAGGCAGCAGUGGGGAAUAUUGCACACUGGACGAAAGUCUGAUGCAGCAACGCCGCGUGGAGGAUGACACAUUUCGGUGCGUAAACACCUUUUAUAUGAGAAGAUAAUGACGGUAUUAUAUGAAUAAGGAUCGGCUAACUACGUGCCAGCCGCCGCGGUAA
rnacentral:rRNA from 1 species